UUUAGAUCUAUGAUCCGAACAACAAGCGAUACGAAGUUCCUGUCGAAACACCAGAGGUGACAAAGAAAAGUUCCAAACAAGAUUAUCUCGUUAGCUUCACUCACUAUCCAUUUGGUUUUGCAAUCACAAGAAAGUCAACUGGCCGCGUUCUCUUCAAUUCCACAGCGGGAGCAAUGAUUUUUGAGGAUCAAUUUUUACAACUAUCUACUUUCCUACCCUCAACUAAUAUAUUCGGACUAGGUGAACAUGUUGACAGUUUUCGACUAAAUACCACUUGGCAAAAACUGGUGAUGUUUGCU